rnacentral:rRNA from 1 species
UACCAGCUCCCUGAGUGGCAAGGACGAUUAUUUGGCCUAAAGCGUCCGUAGCCGGCUUAUCAAGUCUCUUGUUAAACCCAAUGAUUCAAUCAUUGAUCUGCAAGAGAUACUGUUAUGCUAGAGGACGGGAGAGGUCGACGGUAGUCCAGGGGUAGGGGUGAAAUCCUAUAAUCCUUGGAGGACCACCAGUGGCGAAGGCGGUCGACUAGAACGUGCCUGACGGUGAGGGACGAAAGCUGGGGGAGCGAACCGGAUUAGAUACCCGGGUAGUCCCAGCUGUAAACGAUGCGGGCUAGGUGUUGGGGUAGCUACGAGCUACUCCAGUGCCGCAGAGAAGUUGUUAAGCCCGCCGCCUGGGGAGUACGGCCACAAGGCUGAAACUUAAAGGAAUUGGCGGGGGAGCACCACAAGGGGUGAAGGCUGCGGUUU